rnacentral:tRNA from 1 species
GCCCCGGUAGCUCAGUUGGAUAGAGCGUCCCCCUCCUAAGGGGAAGGUCGCAGGUUCGACUCCUGCUCGGGGCGCCA